rnacentral:lncRNA from 1 species
CAGAGGCCCAAAAGGGAAAAAUGGUUGUGUGGGCUGGGACCAGCACCCACCCCCAUUUGCUGUGUGCAGCCUAGGGGCUUGGUGCCCUGCAUCUCAGCUGCUCCAGCCAUGGCUAAAAAAAGCUAAGGUACAGCUGAGUCCAUGGCUCCAGAGGGUGCAAUGGUAAGUUGUACUCAGUAUGUGGUAGCUUUAAAGAUAUUAUUUUUUGAUAAAUUCAAUAAAUGUUAAUACUACAUUACUAGCUUCAUUGUUAUUUAAGCACUAUGAGACAUUUGGUAACAAUCCAUGAAGCAUUUCUGUCUUACAUUAAAAUAAUAUGGCCAGACCUGUAUUAGUCCAUUCUUAUGCUGCUGUAAAGAAUUGCCCAAGGCUGAGUAAUUUGUAAAAGAAGAGAUUUAAUUGACUCACAGUUCCACAAAGCUGGGGAGGCCUCAGGAAACUUACAAUUAUGGUGGAAGGGGAAGCAAACAUGUCCUUCUUCACAUGGUGGCAGGAAGGAGAAGAUGAGCUAAACAGGGAAAAGCUCCUUAUAAAACCAUUAGAUCUCAUGAGAACUCACUAUCUCAAGAACAGCAUGAAGGUAGCUGCCCCCAUGAUUCAAUUACCUCCCAUCGGGUCCCUCCCACAACACAGAGGGGGUUGUGGGAACACAAUUCAAAAUGAGAUUUG